GUGGCUCAGUGGUAGAGUACUUGCCUUGCAUGCAUGAAGCCCUGGGUUUGAUUCCACAGC
rnacentral:tRNA from 1 species